CCCUUAGAUGUUCUAGGCUGCACGCGCGCUACACUGUCGGAUUCAGCGAGUCAUAUCCUUAACCGAAAGGUUUGGGUAAUCUUUUGAAAGUCCGACGUGAUGGGGAUUGAUCAUUGCAAUUAUUGAUCAUGAACGAGGAAUUCCUAGUAAGCGCGAGUCAUCAGCUCGCGUUGAUUACGUCCCUGCCCUUUGUACACACCGCCCGUCGCUACUACCGAUUGAAUGGUUUAGUGAGAUCUUCGGAUUGGCGCCUACGCGGCUUCUCUGAGGCCACGCUGGAUGCCGAAAAGUUGCUCAAACUGUAUCAUUUAGAGGAAGUAAAAGUCGUAACA
rnacentral:rRNA from 1 species